rnacentral:RNase_P_RNA from 1 species
UUUGAGGCAAGCUCUUGUUCAGGGGUCACACACGGGUGCCUGGUCACUCUUGACAAACUAAACUGCCCUUGGGAAGGUCUGAGAGAAGGGUCGCUUUUCCACGCUCUAGACGGGCGCCCCUCUAAUACGGAGAGGACGGGGGUUCAGAAACUAGACCAUGGAGGAGGGAGUCUAUGACGGAGGGACCUGGUCUUUCACAUUGGACAGUCCCUUCGGAGAUGUUGAUCUCGCUCCACGUGGCUGAAAUCACUCCCGUGACCGGCGAAGGUAGCACAAUACGAGAGGUGCUUGCCCGGGCAUAACUCAAUUCAGACUACACUGCUUCAAA